GGCGGCAACAAGAGCAAAACUCUGUUUCAAAAAAAAAAAAAAGGACACUAGCUCAAUGAAUCAAGCCCAGAAAAAUUAACCAAAAUGUUUUGGAGAUUUAAGACUGUAUAACAAUAGUAAUAGCCGUAAUAAUAGAGCAAAUUAAAUACCAGGCACUGUGCCAAGAAGGGGCCUGAGAGGGUUAAGGUCACUUUUCAAGGCCAAUAGGUGGCAGGGAGUUUGAAUCCAGGUCUUUCUGAGCCUAAAGUGCAUGCUGUUUUCACUGACACAUGAGAAGGAAGUAAGAGAACACUGGCUGGGACAAGAUAAGAUCUUUUUUUUUUUUUUUUUUUGAGGCAGAGUCUCGCUCUGUUGCCCAGGCUGGAGUACAGUGGUGCAAUCUUGGCUCACUGCAACCUCCACUUCCCAGGUUCAAGCAAUUCUCAUGCCUCAGCCUCCUGAGUAGCUGGGAUUACAGGCGUCCACCACCAUCCCUGGCUAGAAGAUACACUCUAUGAGCCACACAGGACAGAACAAAGACCACAGGUGGAAGAGGCACAGAGAUACCUUUCAAAUAGUUAUGGCCAUUUCAAUGGAACUGACUAUCUCAGCAAAGAAGUCACUCCCCAAUUUCCAGGAAUAUUCAAGAAGGUAGCAAACAUCUAUCCUAGGACACUGAGGAAACUCACACAAAUGAGGGCUGAACCAGUUUAAUGACCACUUCCAACUCUACGAUUCCCAGGUUCUUUUUUCUUUUCCUUUUUUUUUUUUUUUUUUUUUUGAGAUGGAGUCUUGCUCUAUCACUCAGGCUGGAGUGCAAUGGCGGGAGUGCAAUGGCACGAUCUCGGCUCACUGCAACCUCUACCUCCGAGGUUCAAGCGAUUCUCCUGCCUCGGCCUCCUGAGCAGCUGGGACUACAGGUGUGCACCACCAAGCCCAGCUAAUUUUUAUAUUUUCAGUAGAGAUGUGGCUCAUGCCUGUAAUCCCAGCACUUUGGGAGGCCGAGGUGGGCAGAUUGUCUGAGGUCAGGAGUUUGAGACAAGCCUGGCCAACAUGGUGAUUCUCAGGUUCUUUAGGGGCACGACUUCUCUUACUAACCAGGAAAGUACAAAAUGAAGUCAUUUUGCUGGGCACGGUGGCUCACACCUGUAAUCCCAGCACUUUGGGAGUCCAAGGCAGGCAGAUCAUAAGGUCAGGAGUUCGAGACCAGCCUGACCAACACAGUGAAACCCCAUCUCUACUAAAAAUACAAAAAUUAGCCAGUUGUGGUGGCACGCGCCUGUAAUCCCAGCUACUCGGGAGGCUGAGGCAGGAGAAUCGCUUGAACCCGGGAGUCGGAGGUUGCAGUGAGCCGAGAUUGCACCACUGCACUCCAGCCUGAGUGACAGAGCGAGACUCCGUAUAAAAAAAAAAAAGAGUCAUUUUGUUGUCAUGGGGUUAUAAGAAGAUCGAUCACUGGACCUGGUCUAAGACUUUCAAAGUGAAGCUGUAGCUGCUCACUUACAAGCAUUUGACCUUCAUCAAGUUACCUGACAUAGCAGCCCAUUUCUUCACUGGGAAAUCAGUCGAUCACCUGUUCAACAAAUAUGUAUUCAUUACCAACUCCAGGCCAGAUACUUUUCUAGGGUCUAGGGAUACAGAGCGUACAAAAGACAAGUAUCUUCCCUGUUGGGACUUCCAUUCUGGUAGGGGAACAUAGUUUAAAAACAGGUAAACAAAUAGAUGAGCAAGGUGAUUUCAGAGUGUGGCAAAUGGAAAGUAGUUACAAAGGAACUGAAACAAGGUCAUGGGAGAAACUAUAAGGGGAGGUUGAGGAGGUUUAGAAGAUCAUUCUACUCUCUUGCUUCAAACCUUCACCUGGCUUCCAGAAGCUCUUAGAAGCUCAUUCAAACUCCUUUUAGUGACCUAAAAUACUUUGCACGGUCGGUCUUUUCAGGCAGCUGCUAGCCCGAUGAAAACCCUGCGUGUUUGCAUAGAAGUCUAUGGUUUCUUAACUCUCAUGCACAUGGUCUCCUUGAUCCUAACAAACAUUCCCCUUCAGGUCCCUUCAGGUAGGCACAGCUGCCAGAAUGAUAUUCUUAAAAUGGAAAUCAGAUCAUUCCAAUAUCUUGCUUCAAAUCCUCGAAUGACUUCUAGAGGCUCUUAGAAUACAAAUUCCUUUCUGUGACCUGGAAGCCCCUGCUCAGCUCCUCAACCUCAUCUUCUUUCACUCUGUCCCCAUUGAUAGUAUUCCAGCCCAGAGGUUCUCAAUAUGUGGCCUCUGAGCCAGCAGCUGCUGCAUCACCUGGGAACAAGCCACUUGACACAUCGGCCUGUUUCUUCAUUUGGAAGUUGAAUCUCCUAAGUUAGUGAUGUUCAGCUGAGCCCUGAACAAUGAAAGGGAGUUGACAUACAAAGGCCCGCAGGAACAUUCUGGAAACAGAAAUUGCUGAUGCAAAGGCUCUGAGGAGAGAGAAAACCUUAGCAUCUCUCAAGGCCAGAGAGAAGGCCAGUGAAGGGCUCAAACAGGGGUUUUAAAUGUAAGCAAAUAUUGGAACUACCUGAAGCGUUUGCUGAACCAUAGAUGACUGUCCUCACUUCCCCAGGACUUCAGAAUCAGUAGGGAUAUUGGUCAGGGUUCUCCAGAAAACAGAACCGAGAGGACAGACAGAUUACAUAGACAGAUAAGUAGAUAGGUAGACAGAUAAUAGAUUAGAGAGAUAGAGAAAGAGAGAGAGAGACAGAGACAGAGAGAUAAAGAUACACAGGUAGGUAGUAGGUAGACAGAUAAUAGAUUAGAUAGAUAGAUAGAUAGACAGAUAGAGAUAGAUAGAUAUACACAGGUAGCUAGUAGGUAGACAGAUAAUAGAUUAGAUAGAUAGAUAUGCACAGGUAGGUAGUAGGUAGACAGAUAACAGAGUAGAUAAUAGAUAUACACAGGUAGGUAGUAGGUAGACAGAUAAUAGAUUAGAUAGAUAGAUAGAUAGAUAGAUAGAUAGAUAGAUAGAUAGAUAGAUGAUAGAUAGAUGGGGGAAGGGUAGGAAGCCCUGAUCUAUUGCAUUUGCAAAUUUCUGUGGCACAUACACUCCCACCAGGAAUCAUUGCUACCAAUAUGAAGAUCUUGAACAUGGGUUUGGCAAGAGAUGCUAAUAAUGGGCUCUUAUUAUAAUGUAAUGAGCUCAGACAUAUCCCUGCAUGCAACUCACAGUACAUCUGCUCAAAUGGCAGCCAGAUCACAUCUUCCUUGAGAAAACUUUCUCUUUCCCCACCAACGCUUCAUGCAAGCCUCUUGCACAGUGCUUCCUAUACAGUAAACACUAGUUAAAUGUGGCUGGCUGGGCCUGCUCCAAAGCAUCCGGGUGGCUGUAUGAUUGCACAGCUCCUCUGAACCCCCUGCCCCAAAGCAGGAUGACAGAUGGGUAAACAGAAAUAUUAGUGCCUGGUUAAUGAAUAACACAGACGGCAGCCUAGUGCCGCUACCAGGAAACAGGGGUGGAGGGAUCUGACCUGGCCCAACCUGGGGGCCUGAGCAGCACGAAAAGGGAACCUGGCAUUAUUUCACUUCCCCUUUCUGGAAAAGAUGCUCCUGGGCCCCUUCCUCAGAACUUCUCAUCAGUCCGCACAACCAGAGCUCAGGUGCAGUGUGGCUUGGUGAUGAAUACUAUGGUUGGAAAAGGAGGGAUGGGGGCAGUGGGCAUGGAGAGGGUCUGGAGGAAACACACAGCCAUGAUUCCAGCCUCACUCCCUUAAACGUCCUGCCUCUCAGCGCGGGGUCUGUGCUAGUUCUUCUUUUCGCCUUGCCCUGCCUCCUGUGGAUAAGUGCUUUUGCCCCACUUUUUUUUUUCCUUUUCAUUAUUUAUCUCUAAUCACAGGAAAUGAGGACAUUUCUCAUCUACAAAUUGCACAUCCCAUCAGGAAAUUGGGCCAAAGAUCUCUAAGCCUUCAGAAGCGGUCAUCCAGUAACCCACUUGGCAAAGUUUCAAAGGUCUGGGAAAGUAGAUGCGAGGUCAAGCAGUGCGGGAGGGGAGCCAACUCUGCAAACGCUGGCCACGGCCAGCUGGCCACCAGCAGCUUACCCGAGGAGGGGUUGUCCAAGCUACAUACUAACCCCGGUUCCCUCUCCCCAAACAUUGUCCUCUGCCAUCUGUCAGUCCGAGCUACGACCAGCCUCGAGAAAACAGAGUUAGGAAAGUAAACACACUGCUCCCAAAUCUAGCUAUUUUAAAUAAAAAGCUCACCCAUGUGGGCUGCAGUUGAGAAUUUCUAAAGUGCCAUGGCAAACAUUACACCAUUUGAGUUUCCACGGCGUAGCCUUCAUUCAUCCGCCAACAUUUAUGGAGGCCUACCAUGUGUCAGGCCCUGUUUUAGGUGCUAAGGAUACAGCAGUGAACAAAAAGGGUAAGAUUCCUGCCCUCAAGCAGCUCCCAUUGCUGGGCAGACAGGGAGAGCAAGACCCAUAAGCAGGAUCCUUUGCACUGGUGCUACGUGCUGUGAAGACGAUAGAACCGAGCUGGGAUAGAACAUGACUCCCAGGAAGGGAGUAGGUGGUUACUUUUGAACACACAGCUUGAGCUUGAGAAGGCCAUGCAAAGGUGAUAUUUGAGCUGGGACUAGAAUGGCAAGGAGGAAUCUUGUAUGCCAAGAACUGGGGGAAUAAUGUCCCAAGCAAGGGGCUCCAGGCCUGUGCGAGGCCUGAACAGGCUGAAUUUGUGCCGGGAAAAGAAACGCCAGGGUGGCUGCAGCUUAGUGACAGCUGAAAAGCCAGCAAGUGUCAGAUCCCAGGGAGUCUCAAAGGCUUUUAAGAAGCACAACAGGCCGGGCGCGGUGGCUCACGCCUGUAAUCCCAGCACUUUGGGAGGCUGAGGCGGGCGGAUCACGAGGUCAGGAGUUCAAGACCAGCCUGACCAACAUGGUAAAACCCCGUCUCUACUAAAAAUACAAAAAAAUUAGCCAGGCGUGGUGGCACACACCUAUAAUCCCAGCUACUCAGGGGCAGGAGAAUCACUUGAACCCGGGAGGCAGAGGUUGCAGUAAGAUGAGAUCGCACCACUGUACUCCAGUCUUGCAACAGAGAGAGACUCCAAAUCAAAAAAAAAAAAAAAAGAAGAAGCGCAACAGAUAUCCUCUCCCUACUUAACAACAAGAAAAGCUGAGGCUCAGCGAUGCAAAGUGGCAAAGUGGCAAAGUGACACACGCAAGUCCUCAGUGAGAUGGUGUUCUGGCCCCUCCUCCACGAUUCCCGACUCCCUCUCAAAACCACAGGCACACUCUCUCUCAAUCUUUACUUCACUGAGGAAGAGAAAAGAGGGCAGGAAUCGUGACUCAUGCGGUGUGCAGUUGUUUGGUAUAGAAAGUUGGGGAGAGUGAUGGAGACUGACCUCCAUCGAGGUUCUGAGAAAGGAAAGGCAUCGGGGGUGGGGUAAGAUGCCUGGUGCUGAGAGCAGAGUAGAGACCAGCAAGAAACCUGGCUUCUAGGAGGAGUCGUGGCUGGGGAGAAGAAGGGGCCUGGGCUCCAAGAAAGUGAUGGGAGGCCAAGGAGUCACCAAGAGCCGUCCCAUGUUGUCCCGGGUCCACUGGCCUGCAACAGAAAUGAAGGUGUGAGGACAGAAGCAUAGAGCUCGGGGGAUGCGAGCAGGCCUCCAGCCUGCGUCCACUUCUCAACCCUGGCUGCGCUCCAAAGCCACUGGAGGAGUUUCCAAAACUGCCGGUGUGUUUGGGCAUUGUAUUUUCUAAAGCUCUCCAGUUGCUUGUGAAGUAGAGUGAGGGUUGAGAAGCAGUGAAUUUAGUCCUGGUCCUCUAGGGGACAAGCUGAGGGCUCUCCAGGAAGGGGCAGCAGGGUGUACUGAGUUUGAAUCCUGUCCUAGCGCUGUGCAACUCAACCUUGCUGCGCUUUCGUUUUCUCACGAGAAUUUUUUUUUUUUCUUUGAGACGGAGUCUCGCUCUGUCGCCCAGGCUGGAGUAGAGUGGCAUCAUCUCAGCUCACUGCAACCUCCGUCUCCCCGGUUCAAGCAAUUCUUGUGCCUCGCCCUCCUAAGUAGCUGGGAUUACAGGCAUGCGCCACCACUCCCAGCUAAUUUUUGUAUUUUUAGUAGAGACGGGCUUUCACCAUGUUGGCCAGGUUGGUCUUGAAUUCCUGACCUCAAGUGAUCCACCCGCCUCAGCCUCCCAAAGUGCUGGGAUUACAGGCGUGAGCCACUGAGCCUGGCCUCUCACAAGAUUUAAAAAAAAAAAAAGGCCAGGUGCAGUGGCUCACACCUGUAAUCCUAACACCUUGGGAGGCCAAGGUAGAAGGAUCACUUGAGACCAGGUGUUUGAGACCAGCCUGGGCAACAGAGUAAGACCCCAUCUCUAAAUAAAUAAAUAAAUAAAUAAAUAAAUAAAUAAAUAAAUAAAUAAAUAAAUAUAGUUGAUUUUAAAAAAGAAAAAGAAAAAAAUGAAAUUAUUAAAUAAAAUAAAUUAGCCA
rnacentral:lncRNA from 10 species